rnacentral:miRNA from 1 species
UGUCAGGACUGAGGUUGUGCUU